CUUAUACUCCCUCCGUUGUGAAUUACUUGUCACAUAUAUGGAUGUAUCUAGAUGUAUUUUAGUUCUAGAUACAUCCAUUUCUGUGAUGAGUAAUUUGGAAUAGAGGGAGUACCUU
rnacentral:pre_miRNA from 1 species